rnacentral:rRNA from 1 species
CCUACGGGAGGCAGCAGUGGGGAAUAUUGGACAAUGGGGGGAACCCUGAUCCAGCGACGCCGCGUGAGUGAAGAAGUAUUUCGGUAUGUAAAGCUCUAUCAGCAGGGAAGAUGAUGACGGUACCUGACUAAGAAGCCCCGGCUAACUACGUGCCAGCAGCCGCGGUAAU